rnacentral:rRNA from 1 species
GAAGGUGGCAAGCGUUGUUCGGAUUCACUGGGCGUACAGGGAGCGUAGGCGGUUGGGUAAGCCCUCCGUGAAAUCUCCGGGCCUAACCCGGAAAGUGCAGAGGGGACUGCUCAGCUAGAGGAUGGGAGAGGAGCGCGGAAUUCCCGGUGUAGCGGUGAAAUGCGUAGAGAUCGGGAGGAAGGCCGGUGGCGAAGGCGGCGCUCUGGAACAUUUCUGACGCUGAGGCUCGAAAGCGUGGGGAGCAAACAGGAUUAGAUACCCUGGUAGUCCACGCCCUAAACGAUGACAACUGGAUGUCGGGAGGGUUUGCCUUCCGGUGUCGUAGCUAACGCGUUAAGUUGUCCGCCUGGGAAGUACGGCCGCAAGGUUG